GAUGAACGCUGACAGAAUGCUUAACACAUGCGAGUCAACUUGAAUUUGGGUUUUUUAACUUAGAUUUGGGUGGCGGACGGGUGAGUAACGCGUAAAGAACUUGCCUCACAGCUAGGGACAACAUUUGGAAACGAAUGCUAAUACCUGAUAUUAUGAUUAUAAGGCAUCUUAGAAUUAUGAAAGCUAUAUGCGCUGUGAGAGAGCUUUGCGUCCCAUUAGCUAGUUGGAGAGGUAACGGCUCACCAAGGCGAUGAUGGGUAGCCGGCCUGAGAGGGUGAACGGCCACAAGGGGACUGGGACACGGCCCUUACUCCUACGGGAGGCAGCAGUGGGGAAUAUUGGACAAUGGACCAAGAGUCUGAUCCAGCAAUUCUGUGUGCACGAUGACGUUUUUCGGAAUGUAAAGUGCUUUCAGUUGGGAAGAAAAAAAUGACGGUACCAACAGAAGAAGUGACGGCUAAAUACGUG
rnacentral:rRNA from 1 species